ensembl:lncRNA
AAACCCAUGCAGCCAACCCCAUCACACUAUUUUCGACGAAGUCCAAAUAAUCACAUACCCAAGAAUAUUUAUAUAUUUAAAAACAAAAAGUGUACACCCUAUAUUAAAAACUAUUUUUUUGUAUUUACAGCCAAGAAGGAUAACGGGCUCCUUAUGGACCCUGAAUGACUUCGUUGGAGCAGAUGACACAUUCGAUGACACAGAUGCAAUUCUCCCGUACUGCACAAACGUUUUUUACAACACACCGAGAACAGAGAAUUUAAACUUCCUGCCAACUCCCCCGGGAACCUCCACCCACUCUCUACACAUUCCAGGCCCCAACAAGCAACGCAUAACGAGGGCUCUUGUACAUUGCUCUAAAUCCACCCCCCAGAAAAGUACUACUGUGCAGGGAACUUGUGGCUUCACGAUCAGGCACUCCAUGGACACGGCUUGAAUAUGUUAAAACAAGGACAAAUGCAACGAGACCGGCCCUGCAGAAUCGGGAACAUUUGAUGAAAAAAGUCACGACCCCCGGUUUCCGCGACUCGUCAGAACAGCCCGCGCCCAAAAAGCAGAGACUCCUCCCCGGCGUAUAACGGCAAAUAAGACACCAUACAUCUAGAGCAGGGGGAUCCGGCUCACCGAACAUUCCCAAUGAAAACACCCAAAACGGCGGAUAUCCCUGUUUUAAAUGACAUUUCAGAGGCAGACGACCGGCUAUUAUGGGAUGCAGCCAACCUUCUAGAGUCUGCCAAUUCUACGGUGGCAACAUCCGGAUCUGAAAUAGAACAAGCAAGGUUUUUCACAGUCUUUUCCAGGGCUUUGAAAUCGAGGAAGGUUUUGCUACACAAACGAAUGAGGGUUUUACUUGAGAGACAGUACCGAGACGAUCUCUCAUUCUGGCAUAGGACAAUUCCACGCAUGUUAAACAGCAAACCGAUUAAAAACGCAAAUACAGGCGCUAAAAUCAUAUAUGUAACACGGAUCAUUCCAGAAAUACCCAAGAACGCACAUCCUUAAUUAUCCAAAUGGCAUAACCACCAGAACAAGUUGAGACAGUUUAAAGCCUCUUAUCACAGAUACCGCCAGAACUCCUUGAAAUUAUUAAUCGUAUGAACGAGGCGGGGUAACAGACAUAAUACCGAUAGAUGAAAGCAUAUUAUCACAGAUUCUAGCCGAACUUCUAGAAAUUAUUAAUCGUAUGAACGAGGCGGGGGUAUCAGACAUAAUACCGAUAGAUGAAAGCAUAUUAUCACAGAUUCUAGCCGAACUUCUAGAAAUGAUUAAUCGUAUGAACGAGUCAGGGACGCCCGAUGAAAACCUGUUAUCACAGAUUCCUGAAGCCCUCAUAUCCCUAAUUAAUCAGAUGAACGAGAGCCAGAUAUCUUCGGCAUCCCACACGCCAUCUUCGACAUCCCAACCGUUAACGCCCAUGUCCGUAGAGUCUGGAACGCAACACAAUGUUUUUGGGGAAUUGGAAAAUAGUCUAAUAAAUCAGGAGGGAGAUGGUAUUGAUCGAGGUGUCCGGGUUGUGUACCGAAAUAAAUUCAACAAUACAGAGAUUCGACAGUUUUUCAAUUUCACUUGGGUGAAUCAGAAUCUUGACAAUGCUGUGUUUUACGUAAUGAUAUUGGACACUCUGAACGAUCUGUUAGACAGGGCAAGAGAUUAUGGCGAACCACGUGAUGUCAUACAGUUGGAAAUUUGUGGAGAUAGCCUGCAUAACACGGUAUCUCUUAUUUUACCCAAUAGCGAAGCAGAUCUUGAACAAUUUAUCGCACCGCUUGAACGACUUGUUCAGUCAAAUUUAUCUGUCAUAGCAGAUCGGACCCUCGAGCUUGUAGUGCAAAUAAUACGUCAACCCCAGGGUGGUGGGGGUCAGAGAAGGAAGCUUGAUAGCCUAAUGCAGUCAGAAAUCAUGAGCAAUAAAAGGGCCUACCUCAUAAACAUUCACAAUCCAGGUAAUAAGCUAUGCUUUGCAAUAGGCCUAGCACAUUUACUCAACCCUGGAUGUACUGAUCUAGCGGCAUUGCAAAAGGCUAGAGAGCUCCAAACGGACGUGGGUCUCGGUAUACAGGAUGCUGUGGCUUUCACUGACAUAGUCAAAUUUGAAAACUUUCUGAAUAUCAAGAUUGUGGUUUUGUACCACAGUAGAGCUAAUGCAGCUCUCUUGAAGUUCCAAAACAACCCCCAACCUCAUCCUCAGAUUCUGUACUUUUAUGUGCAAAACGAACAUUACUAUGCCGUUACCAACAUCACUGCUUUUUUUUUAGGCGCACCAUAUGUGGUGCGCCUAAAACUCUUUUUUAACAACUCUUUUUUUAGUCAGGUCGUAAAUAAAUAUCAAUUACGGUCCCAUUCUCAUUUUCUUCUAACAGUACCAAAACUUAGAACAGGUCAUGGUCCUGGAAUUCUCUCCUGAACAUUUAAAAAUUUGAUGAUCUAGUUUCGUUGAUGGAGUUUAAACACUUAAUGUACAUAUCUUAGAAGAGUGUAAUUGUCUUUAGGCCAGUUUUUAGUCAAGACUUUCAUGUUUUUAAUGUCAAAUGUUUUUGUUGUAAUGUAUGUGUGUCUAUAGUUUUGUUUAAUGUUGUGUUAGUGUAUGUACGUUGUUUUGUCUGAAACGUUGUUCCCCCUGCUGCUAUUGGACCAGG